AACGAACGCUGGCGGCAGGCUUAACACAUGCAAGUCGAGCGCCCCGCAAGGGGAGCGGCAGACGGGUGAGUAACGCGUGGGAAUCUACCCAUCUCUACGGAAUAACGCAUGGAAACGUGUGCUAAUACCGUAUACGCCCUUCGGGAGAAAGAUUUAUCGGAGAUGGAUGAGCCCGCGUUGGAUUAGCUAGUUGGUGGGGUAAAGGCCUACCAAGGCGACGAUCCAUAGCUGGUCUGAGAGGAUGAUCAGCCACACUGGGACUGAGACACGGCCCAGACUCCUACGGGAGGCAGCAGUGGGGAAUAUUGGACAAUGGGCGCAAGCCUGAUCCAGCCAUGCCGCGUGAGUGAUGAAGGCCCUAGGGUUGUAAAGCUCUUUCACCGGUGAAGAUAAUGACGGUAACCGGGGAAGAAGCCCCGGCUAACUUCGUGCCAGCCGCCGCAGUAAUAC
rnacentral:rRNA from 1 species